UAGGGAAUAUUAGUAAUGGGCGAAAGCCUGAACUAGCAACGCCGCGUGUGCGAAGAAGGCCUUCGGGUUGUAAAGCACUUUUUGAGAGGAUGAGGAAGGACGGUACUCUCAGAAUAAGUCUCGGCUAACUACGUGCCAGCAGCCGCGGUAACACGUAGGAGGCAAACGUUAUCCGGAUUUACUGGGCGUAAAGCGCGUGUAGGUGGUUUGGUAAGUAGGGCGUGAAAGCUCCUGGCUCAACUGGGAGGGGCCGUUCUAAACUGCCGAACUAGAGGAUGGUAGAGGGAGGUGGAAUUCCGGAUGUAGCGGUGGAAUGCGCAGAUAUCCGGAGGAACAGCUGUGGCGAAAGCGGCCUCCUGGACCAUUCCUGACACUCAGACGCGAAAGCUAGGGUAGCAAACGG
rnacentral:rRNA from 1 species